CCUACGGGUGGCAGCAGUGGGGAAUAUUGGACAAUGGGGGGAACCCUGAUCCAGCGACGCCGCGUGAGUGAAGAAGUAUUUCGGUAUGUAAAGCUCUAUCAGCAGGGAAGAAAAUGACGGUACCUGCCUAAGAAGCCCCGGCUAACUACGUGCCAGCAGCCGCGGUAAUACGUAGGGGGCAAGCGAUAUCCGGAUUUACUGGGUGUAAAGGGAGCGUAGACGGUGCAGCAAGUCUGAUGGGAAAGGGCGGGGCCCAACCCCGGGACUGCAUUGGAACCUGGUGAACUUGAGUACAGGAGAGGUAAGCGGAAUUCCUAGUGUAGCGGUGAAAUGCGUAGAUAUUAGGAGGAACACCAGUGGCGAAGGCGGCUUACUGGACUGUAACUGACGUUGAGGCUCGAAAGCGUGGGGAGCAAACAGGAUUAGAUACCCUGGUAGUC
rnacentral:rRNA from 1 species